rnacentral:rRNA from 1 species
AUACGGAGGGGGUUAGCGUUGUUCGGAAUUACUGGGCGUAAAGCGCACGUAGGCGGACUGGAAAGUUGGGGGUGAAAUCCCGGGGCUCAACCCCGGAACUGCCUCCAAAACUUCCAAUCUAGAGAUCGAGAGAGGUGAGUGGAAUUCCAAGUGUAGAGGUGAAAUUCGUAGAUAUUUGGAGGAACACCAGUGGCGAAGGCGGCUCACUGGCUCGAUACUGACGCUGAGGUACGAAAGUGUGGGGAGCAAACAGGAUUAGAAACCCUAGUAGUCC